CAGAAGUAUUUGCAAGUAUUAUUAUUGUUAUUGUUUGAAAGAAGAGUGUGUCUGUGUUACGUUUUCUGUGGUUGUUGUUAGUUGGUCAAGACAGCAUCACCACCACCACUACACCACUACCUUGGGGAUGAAUAGACUGGACCCAACCCAUUGGAGCUCAGACUUCAGGUACCCAGGAGGAAGCUGUGAAGACUGCCAAGACUAAGGCAAGGACCACACUAAAGACAUGUUUAGUAAUGGAAAUAUUAGGCUAGAUGAAGGUAACAGUAGAUAGCAUGAAUUAACUAAUAUAAAUUAGGGUAGAACAGAGUAAAAAGUAGUGUUUUAUAAACUGUUGUAAGGAGGUUCAGUAUUGAGGUUUGUAAAUGUCAAGGUUAGAUACAAUAUGAGGUGGACUAAUUAAAGAAGAAUAGGACGAAUAGGCAUUAAGGUGUGGUCUAAAGUGUUAGUUGAGAGUAAGACAAAGUUGGAUAAGAAUAAUAGAAUACAUAUUAGGUAAUGUAGUCUUAUGAGAAUUAUUAUGGUAAUAUAGACUUAGAAGUAGUAUUAUGGUAAAUUGAGAAAAAGUUCAAAGCAAAAAUGAAGUUAAAUAAAAACCAGCUUUGAGAUAUUGUAAAAGGCAGGAUCAGAGGUUAAGGUAAUUUAUUUCUAGGCUUAACUUUAAAUUAUAUAAUGGAAAAUCCUUUUUUGGGGUGUUUUUUCAUGUGAAGAAUGCUUUGGAAAUAGGCAAUGAAGAAUAAAUAUGUACAGUAUUUGGAUUUAGUGUAAUAGGUUUAAAAGAAACUGUGAACAUGAGUCAGAGAAAGGGAUAAGAACAUGUGAAAAGUUAGGAGCAAGGUGAGGGUGGAAGGGAAGGAUGAAAUACCUUUUGUCAUGGAACUCUGGUUAGUGGUGGGUGAGUACGGUCAUCAGUUGUUACUACCUGCACUUCUGUCAGGUAACCUGAGACACAGUUGUCUUGGUAAGAGACUUGAGAUAUCAGGUAGAUGUGAAGGUGUAUUUUCAGGUGAUUUAAAAUAUUUUUGAUAAAACAUUUAAAUGGUAUUACUUAAAUAGAUGUUGUGUAUAUAGAUUAUUAUGUUUGUCACAUGAUUUUUGGGGGAUAGGAUUGGAGCUUAAUUAGAACUCUUAAAGAAGUAUUGAUAUGAAGAAUGAAAAAUAGUUUAAAUUUCUAGAAGGGAUUUUGUUAGAUUUGAUUUAAUUUAAAUUGUUCCAUAAUAUUUAGUUUAAUUGGUUAGUUUAUUCAUUUUCAUUGAAUAUAGUGUAGCAGGAGAAUGAAUUAUAUUCAGGUUAUUCAUUUGAACUAUAGCAAGAAAGCAGUGUGGCUAAAAAGGAGGGGGAAAAAAGGACUUCAGGAAAGAUUGUAUUGUGUCAAGGAUGAGGGGCUGACCAUUUUCUCACAGGAAGGUUGCAUCCAUGGGAAAAUAGUUAUUCCACAACUGAGAGAUGUGUAAAUUAAGCUUUUUCUUCCUUUGUGAAUAUUCAAAUGACUUUAAAGACUUAUUAAAAGCACCAUUUAUUAAAACUUGUUUCCUUAGUAAUUAAUACAGUAAAUUGUUUUACUUAAAAUAGUUUAUUACAUUUAAAACAAAAUCACUGUAAAUGUAAAAAAAAUUGUAGAUUUAAUAUUUCAGAAGUUCUUUGCUUAAAUAAAGGUUAGUAUGUAAUCAGUAAGGUUAUUCACAUAAAAAAAAUGGCGAGUGACAUUGUGGAAGAUUCGUUGUUAGAUAUUUAUAGUAGCAAAUAUUCUACGAGAUAUAAUUUCACUCUGGAUGUUUCUGAAGUGAUAAAUUAAGUACAUUUGGGUAACAGAUAGCAGUUAUAUUGAUAUUGGUAGGUAAGACACAUAGGCAACAGUUAGGCAUCUUUAUUCCGAAACGUUUCGCCUACACAGUAGGCUUCUUCAGUCGAAUACAGAAAGUAGGCAGGAACAGUAGAGAUGUGAAGACGAUGUAAUCAGUCCAUCACCCUUGAAGUCGUAGAAUUUGAAGUUGUCAGUCCCUCGGCCUCGAGAAGUUCAGUUCCUGACUAUGGAACUUUCUGUAUUCGACUGAAGAAGCCUACUGUGUAGGCAAAACGUUUCGGAAUAAAGUUGCCUAACUGUUGCCUAUGUGUCUUACCUACCAACCUGUCGGUAUUGUAUACCAUUUUGAUGUUUAUAUUGAUAUUGUAGGGAGUAGCAACCUUAUGUAGAUUUUGAGGGUAAGGGUCUGUGUAGGGAACUUUUGAAAAGUCUAGAAAUAUUUUAGAAAGAUUGGCAAGAAUGUUAAAAUGAAGCCAAGAUUUUCCUGGUAAUCUGUAGCAGCACUUAAUGAUCCUCAUGAAUGGGUACAGCAUUUGUUUCUUUAAUGCUGUAUAAUGAUAAUGGCAGACUGGUAUUCAUUAUAUUUCAUGAUCCAGGUCAUUUAGUUUAUUGGGAUUUUUGUGAAUCAUGGGUUCCAGAUUUAUUGUUUUCCCCUACAUUCUCCUGGUCACACCUCAAAGGAUAAACACAAUGAAAUUCAGAAUUUUUUGCCUCAAAAAAAAAAAAAACUAAAAGUAGUUUUCUGUAAUUUGUUAGUUACCACUGACUACCUGUACCAAUCUUUAUAAUUUGGGAUUAAAUAUCUGUUACAUACAUUAAAGUAUUGUACAUUUAUUUUAGAAUUAGUAGGUAAUGGUUUGGUUAAAAUUUUAUCAUCAGUUAAAUUAUUAUAGUAGCUGGUUGUAGUUGUAAUAAAAAAAAGUAGCUUUUGUGAUCAUUUAAAAUUUUCUUAUUUCUUUUGAAUAUAUACACAUUUUAAGAUAAGCUUAUUCAGAGAAAGUAUAUGCAGUAUUCUUGAUUUUGUAGUAUGUAAUGCUUUAUUGCAGUGCUCAGAGAAGUGUUUAGGUGUUUGAACAUUUCUUUUACAACUUUACAUGUACUGUACUGUACGACUUGCAGUUUAUAGAUAGUAUUAGAACAGUUAUUGUGAUAUUUUAAUAAAUAUAUACAUUA